rnacentral:lncRNA from 1 species
CUCUUCCGGCGCAGGUUGUUUGAAGUUGGGAAAACGGCUGAAUAAAACAUGAUGAGGAAACCGUCCCCUCUGCUCGGGCGUCAAACACAGCUUAUUCUUCUUUCACUCCAGAGGAGGUCUUCCCUCGGGCUGCGUCUCCAUGCUCGCUGCGGUCGGUUAUGACGUCAGAUUCUGGCUGAGUGAUGUUGCUUAUCUCCUCCUCGCUUCCUGGAGAUGUUCAAGGAGGGUGUCAACCAGAAACGUAAUGAAUAUCUGCAACACCCGGGAUGUGACUGGAGAGUGAACAGCAGUCAUCCUUGGAGAUGAGAACGCACACUUCUUCAAGACAGGCUUUGUAAGUAGACUUUACUCAACAUCAUUUUCUCUCUCUCU